rnacentral:rRNA from 1 species
AUUGAACGCUGGCGGCAGGCCUAACACAUGCAAGUCGAACGAGUGGCGGAUGGGUGAGUAAUGUCUGGGAAACUGCCCGAUGGAGGGGGAUAACUACUGGAAACGGUAGCUAAUACCGCAUACCAUCGGAUGUGCCCAGAUGGGAUUAGCUUGUAGGUGAGGUAACGGCUCACCUAGGCGACGAUCCCUAGCUGGUCUGAGAGGAUGACCAGCAAAACUGGAACGGAGACACGGUACAGACUCCUAGGUGAGGGAGAAGUGGGGAAUAUGGCAAAAUGGGCGCAAGUCUGAUGCAGCCAGGGCGCGUGUAUGAAGAAGGCCUUCGGGUUGUAAAGUACUUGCAGCGGGGAGUCGGUACCCGCAGAAGAAGUACAGGCUAACUCCGUGCCAGCAGCCGCGGUAAUAC